CCUACGGGGGGCUGCAGUGGGGAAUAUUGGACAAUGGGGGGAACCCUGAUCCAGCCAUGCCGCGUGUGUGAAGAAGGCCCUCGGGUUGUAAAGCACUUUCAGUGAGGAAGAACGCCUGGUGGUUAAUACCCAUCAGGAAAGACAUCACUCACAGAAGAAGCACCGGCUAACUCCGUGCCAGCAGCCGCGGUAAUACGGAGGGUGCGAGCGUUAAUCGGAAUUACUGGGCGUAAAGCGCGCGUAGGUGGCUUGAUAAGCCGGUUGUGAAAGCCCCGGGCUCAACCUGGGAACGGCAUCCGGAACUGGCAAGCUAGAGUGCAGGAGAGGAAGGUAGAAUUCCCGGUGUAGCGGUGAAAUGCGUAGAGAUCGGGAGGAAUACCAGUGGCGAAGGCGGCCUUCUGGACUGACACUGACACUGAGGUGCGAAAGCGUGGGUAGCAAAUAGGAUUAGAUACCCGUGUAGUC
rnacentral:rRNA from 1 species